UUUGGUGAGCUUCCUCCAAUUUUUGUCAGACAGAGGAUGAUCAUACUCAUUUUCCCAGUAAUUGUCAUGACAGUCACAAUCUUCGUCGCAUGCUCCAGAACCUGGGAGAUCCCAAGGGCAGUGACCAUCUAUUUUCUGAGGAUAGAUGUAAUGAUUGUCUGGUGUUACUGCUCCAAUGGGAUAGUCGUUCUGUUCCUUCUCUAAUGGCUGGACCAUCAUGGUCUGGAAUACAGGCAAGGAUCCUGUAGAAUGCCGUGGUGGCUGGAAGGAAGUUUGCACUGUUCCAUCAGGAUUCCGUCUGAAGGAAGAUUCUGUGAUCUGGAUAGGCUGAGAGGUUGAAUGAAGCCUUUCGUAAUUGGUUAACCAAUCCUUUGGGAUGAGCUGUUCAAGCUCAUUUCUAGGCAGUUGCCUAGGUAUCUGAACAAUUGUUGGAGUUGUUUCAGUGUCAGCUAGUACAAGCAGAGCAUCAUUUGAUACAGAUGGCUGAGAUAGAUCUACUGCAUGAUCUUGCAGCCGGUAGAUAAUCGGGUGGUGUAACGUAGCCAUCAUGGAAGAUGUGACUUGGGCUGCAGCCGUGAGUUGGAUUUGGACUUUUAAAGCAGUGCUGAGAUGUGGAUCUCUAAGGGAAAGAUUAUAGUUAGGGAAAAACGUCAAUACCACACUUUCUGCAUGCAAAGUGGUAAGACAUGUCCCUAUCACUGCAUGUUCAUACUGUAAAAACCUCGUAUCGAGGAGUGAUACUCUUACUGUUACUGAAAGUCCUCGUCGUCCAUGUAGACUGAGGAUAAGUCGAACAGUUCCAAAGUGAAAAUGAGAAAACCCUUCUUGUCUCCAUCUGGGGAUGAGCUGAGGAGGGAUUUCUAAGGUUACGUACUGUUCAGCAGAUGAACUCUGGAGAGAGCAUUGAUCCAUUCUGGAGGCCUGAACAUAUUCUUUUGACAAAGAUAUUUUGGAAGAAAUGAGAGAUCUGAUAGAUCUGGCCAAAGAUCCAGAUCGUCUGUAGAUGUUGUAUGGACUGAGAAGAGGAAGAAGAUAUUCUCCAACCUGAGCAUCUUCAGGUAAGGUGGAUAUUUUCACGAGAUUAUCAAUUCUGAAGGAUAGUGUUCUUCGAAGUGGUGAAGAAAAAGAAAGAGAAGAAGUGAGGUUAACAAUCUCAGAGGGAGAAGGGGUUUGAAGAUGAGUUUCAGAAACAGGGUUAAGUGUUUGACAAGCCAUGUUUGGUACGUGGCGCUGUGACUAGAGAUCACUAUCCCUUCUAUGAAGGAAUCAAGCAGUUACUAGUUUCCAGCCGAUAUACCAAGAUAAGAGAAGAUGGCAGAAAACAGUGAUACAGAAAUUAAGAGAAAUACCGGAGUUUGAAAAUUUCUCUCCUACUCACCAGUGAAGUAUGUAUAAUACAAACAUAAUUAGGCUCUGAUACCACAGUACUGGGGGACCGACCUUAUGAGGAAUUUGAUGCGCUUACCGAGCAGGAUAUCCUUUUCGGGCCGAGUGGUAUCAGAG
rnacentral:misc_RNA from 1 species